rnacentral:rRNA from 1 species
CCCUUAGAUGUUCUGGGCCGCACGCGCGCUACACUGACGAAUGCAACGAGCUUAUAACCUUGGCCGAAAGGUCUGGGUAAUCUCCAAAUUUCGUCGUGAUGGGGAUAGAUUAUUGCAAUUAUUAAUCUUCAACGAGGAAUGCCUAGUAAGCGCAAGUCAUCAGCUUGCGUUGAUUACGUCCCUGCCCUUUGUACACACCGCCCGUCGCACCUACCGAUUGAAUGGUCCGGUGAAGCGUUCGGACCGUGGCCUUUGGACGGUUCGCCGUCUGUUGGCUGCGGGAAGUUCGUUAAACCUUAUCAUUUAGAGGAAGGAGAAGUCGUAACA